rnacentral:rRNA from 1 species
GAUGAACGCUGGCGGCGUGCCUAAUACAUGCAAGUCGAGCGAACGGACGAGAAGCUUGCUUUUCUGAUGUUAGCGGCGGACGGGUGAGUAACACGUGGAUAACCUACCUAUAAGACUGGGAUAACUUCGGGAAACCGGAGCUAAUACCGGAUAAUAUUUUGAACCGCAUGGUUCAAAAGUGAAAGACGGUCUUGCUGUCACUUAUAGAUGGAUCCGCGCUGCAUUAGCUAGUUGGUAAGGUAACGGCUUACCAAGGCAACGAUGCAUAGCCGACCUGAGAGGGUGAUCGGCCACACUGGAACUGAGACACGGUCCAGACUCCUACGGGAGGCAGCAGUAGGGAAUCUUCCGCAAUGGGCGAAAGCCUGACGGAGCAACGCCGCGUGAGUGAUGAAGGUCUUCGGAUCGUAAAACUCUGUUAUUAGGGAAGAACAUAUGUGUAAGUAACUGUGCACAUCUUGACGGUACCUAAUCAGAAAGCCACGGCUAACUACGUGCCAGCAGCCGCGGUAAUACGUAGGUGGCAAGCGUUAUCCGGAAUUAUUGGGCGUAAAGCGCGCGUAGGCGGUUUUUUAAGUCUGAUGUGAAAGCCCACGGCUCAACCGUGGAGGGUCAUUGGAAACUGGAAAACUUGAGUGCAGAAGAGGAAAGUGGAAUUCCAUGUGUAGCGGUGAAAUGCGCAGAGAUGUGGAGGAACACCAGUGGCGAAGGCGACUUUCUGGUCUGUAACUGACGCUGAUGUGCGAAAGCGUGGGGAUCAAACAGGAUUAGAUACCCUGGUAGUCCACGCCGUAAACGAUGAGUGCUAAGUGUUAGGGGGUUUCCGCCCCUUAGUGCUGCAGCUAACGCAUUAAGCACUCCGCCUGGGGAGUACGACCGCAAGGUUGAAACUCAAAGGAAUUGACGGGGGCCCGCACAAGCGGUGGAGCAUGUGGUUUAAUUCGAAGCAACGCGAAGAACCUUACCAAAUCUUGACAUCCUUUGACAACUCUAGAGAUAGAGCCUUCCCCUUCGGGGGACAAAGUGACAGGUGGUGCAUGGUUGUCGUCAGCUCGUGUCGUGAGAUGUUGGGUUAAGUCCCGCAACGAGCGCAACCCUUAAGCUUAGUUGCCAUCAUUAAGUUGGGCACUCUAAGUUGACUGCCGGUGACAAACCGGAGGAAGGUGGGGAUGACGUCAAAUCAUCAUGCCCCUUAUGAUUUGGGCUACACACGUGCUACAAUGGACAGUACAAAGGGCAGCGAAACCGCGAGGUCAAGCAAAUCCCAUAAAGUUGUUCUCAGUUCGGAUUGUAGUCUGCAACUCGACUACAUGAAGCUGGAAUCGCUAGUAAUCGUAGAUCAGCAUGCUACGGUGAAUACGUUCCCGGGUCU